UACGGAGGGGGCUAGCGUUGUUCGGAAUUACUGGGCGUAAAGCGCGCGUAGGCGGAUUGUUAAGUCGGGGGUGAAAUCCCGGGGCUCAACCCCGGAACUGCCUUCGAUACUGGCAGUCUAGAGGUCUGGAGAGGUGAGUGGAAUUCCGAGUGUAGAGGUGAAAUUCGUAGAUAUUCGGAGGAACACCAGUGGCGAAGGCGGCUCACUGGCCAGAUACUGACGAUGAGGUGCGAAAGCGUGGGGAGCAAACAGG
rnacentral:rRNA from 1 species